rnacentral:tRNA from 1 species
GGGUCGUUAGCUCAGUUGGCAGAGCAGGAGACUUUUAAUCUCAAGGUCAAGGGUUCGACCCCCUUACGACCCA